AUGUGAUCGUCUCUCGCAUAUCAAUAAGCGGAGGAAAAGAAACUAACAAGGAUUCCCCUAGUAACGGCGAGUGAAGCGGGAAGAGCUCAAAUUUGAAAUCUUAAAGGGUUUCCCUUUACGAAUUGUAGUUUAAAGAAGUGUUUUCUGUUGAGGUUUUGGUAAAAGUUCUUUGGAAUAGGACAUCAUAGAGGGUGAGAAUCCCGUAUUUGACCUUUACUUUCAACUUUGUGAUACACUUUCAAAGAGUCGGAUUGUUUGGGAAUGCAGUCCAAAAUGGGUGGUAAAUUUCAUCUAAAGCUAAAUAUUGGCGAGAGACCGAUAGCGAACAAGUACCGUGAGGGAAAGAUGAAAAGAACUUUGAAAAGAGAGUUGAAACAGUACGUGAAAUUGUCAAAAGGGAAGCGUUUGGACACCAGUGUUGUUUUUCUGAAAAUCAAUUAAAGAACUGUUUAUGCUAAGCUGUUUAGACUUUAUCAGCUAUCUGUUUAGUUUUGAGCUUUUCUUUAAUGCACUUUUCAGUUAACAAGUCAACAUCAAUUUCUUUUGCUGUAAAAAAGCUUGAGGAAGGUGGCUUGAGAUUCGUCUUAAGUGUUUAUAGCCUCUUGCCUAUGCAGUCGGAGAGAUUGAGGUCUGCAGCGUAGAUCCCUUCGGGGCUAAAUGCAUUUGUGCUAAGUUAUAGCAUUUUAUAGACAACUUGUUGACUAUGAUUUGUCUUGUAGCUUACUCGCUUAUGUUAUUUUACCUACGCUUAGGAUGUUGAGCGCAUGUCUCUCUCU
rnacentral:rRNA from 1 species